rnacentral:rRNA from 1 species
GAUUUCUGAUUGGACACUCUGGCCCGUGGGUUAACGCUCACGUGUGCUGGCGCGUUUCCAGUCAUCCUUCCAGACUGCCAUGCGUACCGUUCAUUCGGCCGCGCGUGUUUGCGAUCUGGAUCUUUUACUUUGAAAAAAUUAGAGUGUUUAAAGCAGGCUUAUGCCAUGAAUACAUUAGCAUGGAAUAAUAAUAUAGGACUUUGGUUCUAUUUUGUUGGUUUCUAGGACUGAAGUAAUGAUUGAUAGGGAUAGUUGGGGGUGCUAGUAUUCAGCGGCCAGAGGUGAAAUUCUUGGAUUCGCUGAAGACUAACUACUGCGAAAGCAUU